GGAAAUUUCUUUGAUUUCCAAUGUUGACAAUGUUGACAUGUAAGUAAGCACAUGCAACCAAAGGGAGGGUUGUUUGAUUUUCAAUGUGCAUAUGAUUAAGUAGUAAACACAUACAAUGGAAGGCAUGGUAUAAGGAUUUCCAAUAUUAUCAGGAUGGUACAAGGAUUUCCAAUCGUACUAAGUACACCGAAUAGACAAGAGGUUUCUUUGGUUUCCCAAUGUAAAACUCAAUAUAUAUAGUAGUUCUCCAUCCUAAAUAUGUCCUUCAUUCUUGUUUUAAGACGUGAUAUGAUAACACACUGUCUCCCUUAUUACACUUAUGCUCAUACGCCUUAUAAAAGGAGGGAGUAGUACCUAACAACGUACUUCAAUAUAAGCAGAGCAGUACAUAAACAGAGAGAGUGGUACCAAAUAACGGAAUAUUUGGCUUUCUGAAGGUGUUCUCAUGAUAUACUCAUAUACUAAAGAUUUCGAAUGAUAAUUUGUUGAAUCUAGGUCCAGAUUCUCCUGAUUCUACCAAUAAAGUCUUGGUAUAGGUUACAUUGAUUGUACCAAGAAUAAGAAACAUCCAUGAAUAGACUACUAGACAUUCCACUAUAAGGAUUUUUGUCCGGCAUAUUCUACUAAGCGGAACAUCCUUUAGUCGCCAUUACCUGGCAUGGAUGAGCCCCAAAAUCUUUCCGGCGUGCUAUUCAAAUAUUCAAACGCCCGGGCCAAGCCGCGUGACACAUGUGAAAUGUCAAUUUUCCUCCCCCUUCCCAAUAGCACCCCAUUUCAUCCACCACCAUAGUAAAAGGGUAUAUUGGUAAUGUGACAGGGUCAUCCACCCAAUUGGCCAAAUACCCCGUCCGUUCCCUCCCUCCGUCCAAAUCUUCCGCAUCCAAAAACCUUCUGCCAUUAGUUCCCCUUCACCUCCUCGCCCCCAUCCCAAAUCUUCACCUCCUCCUAGCCCACAUCCCAAAUCUUCACCUCCUCCUUACCACCAUCCUAAAUUUUCAUCUGCUCACCACCAUCCACAAUCUUCCUCUCAUAGCUACCGCCCAUUUCCCAUCUCCCUCGUAGGACCAGCGGCAACGCAAUGGCAAUAGGCGGGAAGGUCGUACGACAGAAACAUCAACAACCAGGUAUAAUGUUUUCCUCCCGAGUUAAGCAUCCCCGGUGUUGCGAUUAAAGUGUAUCCUUGUUGGGUUUUGUUAUUGCUUUUACUUUGUUAUUUGUUUGCAAAUCUGGCAGUUCCCAUGUAUACACGAGUUUGUUUCUUUUAUUCGGGCACCUGAUAGUAUGCCUCCUAUAGUGACUAGGGCAAAGACAUUGGCUUUAGCUCAAGCAGGAGUUUCGGAUGGGAUGACUCCCAAUUCACAAGAAUUGCCAACUGAAGGUCAAGCAACAGCCACCAACACUAAGGACAUCACCGACAUGAUGACUGGCGAAGGCAAGUCAUUUGAUCUCUUUUUCCCAAAGCCAAAAAAUUGGAACGUCGCAAUUAGCAACCAAAUCAUUAUUAACACACAC
rnacentral:lncRNA from 1 species